rnacentral:rRNA from 1 species
GGAUCUCUUAAAGCUGUUCUCAGUUCGGACUGCAGUCUGCAACUCGACUGCACGAAGCUGGAAUCGCUAGUAAUCGCGGAUCAGCACGCCGCGGUGAAUACGUUCCCGGGCCUUGUACACACCGCCCGUCACACCAUGGAAGUCUGCAAUGCCCGAAGCCGGUGGCCUAACCACUUAUGUGGAAGGAGCCGUCUAAGGCAGGGCAGAUGACUGGGGUGAAGUCGUAACAAGGUAGC